rnacentral:Y_RNA from 1 species
GGUUGGUCCCAGUGCAGUGGUAUUUACAACUAAAUGGAUCACAACCAGUUACAGGCUUAUUUCUUCCUUCUCCACUCUCAUUGCUUCACUUGACUAGCCUGGA